rnacentral:rRNA from 1 species
AGAGUUUGAUCCUGGCUCAGGAUGAACGCUAGCGGCAGGCUUAAUACAUGCAAGUCGAGGGGCAGCGGGGUAGCAAUACCGCCGGCGACCGGCAAACGGGUGCGGAACACGUACAGAACCUCCCUCCAAGUGGUGAAUAGCCCGAAGAAAUUCGGAUUAAUACACCGUAAUAUUAUAGAGUGGCAUCACUUCAUAAUUAUAGAUUUAUCGCUUAGAGAUGGCUGUGCGUCUGAUUAGGUAGUUGGUGCGGGUAACGGCCCACCAAGCCAGCGAUCAGUAACUGGUGUGAGAGCACGACCAGUCACACGGGCACUGAGACACGGGCCCGACUCCUACGGGAGGCAGCAGUAAGGAAUAUUGGUCAAUGGACGCAAGUCUGAACCAGCCAUGCCGCGUGGAGGAUGAAGGUCCUCUGGAUUGUAAACUUCUUUUAUCUGGGAAGAAAGGCAUUUUUUCUAAAGUGUUUGACGGUACCAGAAGAAUAAGCACCGGCUAACUCCGUGCCAGCAGCCGCGGUAAUACGGAGGGUGCAAGCGUUAUCCGGAUUCACUGGGUUUAAAGGGUGCGUAGGUGGGCAAAUAAGUCAGUGGUGAAAUCUCCGGGCUUAACCCGGAAACUGCCAUUGAUACUAUGGGUCUUGAAUACCGUGGAGGUGAGCGGAAUAUGUCAUGUAGCGGGAAAUGCUUAGAUAUGACAUAGAACACCAAUUGCGAAG